GAUAGGUUAAGUUAUUAAGGGCGCAUGGUGGAUGCUUGGCACUAGGAGCCGAUGAAGGACGGGACUAACACCGAUAUGCUUCGGGGAGCUGUAAGUAAGCUUUGA
rnacentral:rRNA from 1 species